AGAUUAAGUUAUUAAGGGCGCACGGUGGAUGCCUUGGCACUAGAAGCCGAUGAAGGACGUUACUAACGACGAUAUGCUUUGGGGAGCUGUAAGUAAGCUUUGAUCCAGAGAUUUCCGAAUGGGGAAACCCAGCAUGAGUUAUGUCAUGUUAUCGAUAUGUGAAUACAUAGCAUAUCAGAAGGCACACCAGGAGAACUGAAACAUCUUAGUACCCGGAGGAAGAGAAAGAAAAUUCGAUUCCCUUAGUAGCGGCGAGCGAAACGGGAAGAGCCCAAACCAAAAAGCUUGCUUGUUGGGGUUGUAGGACACUCUAUACGGAGUUACAAAGGACGACAUUAGACGAAUCAUCUGGAAAGAUGAAUCAAAGAAGGUAAUAAUCCUGUAGUCGAAAAUGUUGUCUCUCUUGAGUGGAUCCUGAGUACG
rnacentral:rRNA from 1 species